CAUGGAUACACAUGUAAACAUGCCACCCAUAGACUAGUUAUUUCACAGCUACAUUUACAGAAGCGAGUGGCGUUUUAUAAAAAUCCUGCCAUAUUCCAUUUUAGCUUAAUUUUAUUUGAAUAGCUAUUUUUUAAACAAUGCCAAAAAGUCCAGUAUUAGGAACGGAGUGCUUACUGGGUGACCCGACGUUGGAAGAGGAAUUCGGGCGGUUAAAAAAGCGAGAUUUGACAGAGACGUACCUAUUUCAAGUGGCAUGUGGUUCUUUGGGAUCACAGAAAUGCAGUGGUGGUGCCCUUAGGAAGCAUAUGAUGGAUAAGAUAAAAAUAUCAACUCGUCCACAGCCGAAACAACUAGACGCUCAACCUUCUAUACCUGCAUCUGCCCGCAGAGGCGCCGCCGAGUCCUACUCGCGUGUCCCUGGAGGCAAACCCGCGGAGCACCCGGACUGGAUCAGGGACAGGAAAGCGUUCAGAGAAGCGCUUGAAGGGAUGGGGGACAUGCGCAGAUGGCUCCACAAUAAACCCAUUCUUACCGACUUGGAGGUUCUCGUUAUGGAACGAGAGAGACAAGCUAAGCGGAUGUCAUCACUCCCUCCAGAAACAUGCAUUGUUCCAUCAGCACCAGAUGCUGUCACUUCUCCGCGCGAGCUUAGACGUGAAGUUGAAGAAGUGAACAGCUUUCUGUGCAUGUGCGAACCCUGCAACCUCUCCAAACUCUUGGACUGGAACAAGACUGGUAAAUUACAGCGUGUAGACCUCUGUGCUCAAUUUAAGAAGGAAGGCUUCUUCAUACAACCUGAGCGGUUGAAUGUGCUGAUGUCCUCUUUGAAUAGUAAAGAUGGAAACUCAGUAACUGUUGAAGACCUGUCUGCUGGUAUUCAGGCCUGGAGCAGAAAGCAUCAGGAAAAUGAAGAUCAGCAAACAAACCCAGGUCAUUGGAAUGCAGACUGUGAGAAAAGGAUUGGGUCGAGACAUUAUCUUCCAAUACGUGGAGAGGAGAAAGAUGACCAGGAGGGCAUGCAGGAUGUGGAGGUGUUAGCGAUCAUGCGGAGAGUUCUGGCAGCCACCAAGACCUCUUGCCCUUCUUCUCUGAGUGGCCCUGUGGGUAGAGAAGUGGAUCGUUUCAGGAGACUUUGUUUCAGAGAAUACCUGAAAUCACUGGAGCAAUGCCAACAACAAGCACUUAAUGUGAGCCAGGCCACACUACAGAAAGUCCUGUUGUACCCUGGUGACAUGAGCAUGUCUAGCAUCUUCAAAUUGGGAGGGAAAGGUCACUUCAGGAUAACCAAAACUCAUCAAGCUGAAGGUGGAGCACAUAAGGGCCACAAAAAGAUGAAGAAGCAGCCGGUUUGCUGGGCGGACCCUAAUGCUUUCUGGCCUGGAAGGGAAGAUCAUGUGCGCUUGUUCCUGCCUGUAAUGACAAGCUCUCCUGCAAUGGCUUUAUUUCAGCGUAUCGAAACUACUGUUUUGCCAAGUCCUGGCCACUGGCCUGUAAACCAUUUAGGAUACUCAACCUCUGGAGACAUAGAAGCUCGCAAAAUGUACACCCUCUAGAAUAACUUUUACCAUAUUGAAUGUCUGUAUUAAAUAGGACAUUGUUGUUCUGACUUUCUAAAAAGCGAAUUUGUGCCAUUAGUUUGCAUGCACAAGCGUUGAAGUAAUAGGUGCGUUGAUAUUUUUGGCUGCACAGGUUUUAUUUUGUCACUCAACAUAUUCUCAUCUGUGACAGAUUGAACUAAAACAGUCAUGUUCGAUUUAAUAAAUAUAUUAUAUUAUUAUAAAAAUUUCUCUCAAUACUUUUUUUUUUACAAUAUGAAGUGUGAAUGUACACAUGACUUGUGUGUGUUGUGUGAAUAGAGCCCUGUUUCUGUAUUCCUGAUACCAGGGUAUUUGCAUUAGGAAGUACAAAGCAGAGUGACUUGUUUGAUGAUAUAGAUCAGGACACCUGUGAGUUAAAAAAAAAAAAAACAGAGCGAGCACAUUGUAGCAGAGAGGCAGCAAAGAUAGAGGACAAAGAGAUGUCACAAAUUUUGAGUUCGCUCCUGUCGACGCGUGAGAACGGUCUUCUCUUCAGUUUACUAAGCCAUGACUGUAGUGUUUUAGCAUGUGCUAUUGUCCAGCUGGUAAUGGCAGCCCCUCCACAGAAAAAGGAGUGGAAAAGUCACAGUUUUGGAGUUUUAUGUCUGAUGCAAGAUAAGUCUGUACAUUCAACAUUCAUGAGACUCUACUGUCUUAAGAAAGCCAAGCUGCAAUGGGAACAGGAGCUGUAUACACCAUUUGAGUACUCAGAAACUUGCCCUUAUUUCCACACCUUCCCUGGUGAUGAGUGUCAGAUAGGAAUAAACUUUGCGGAUGAAGAUGAAGCCAAGCAGUUCUACGCUGCUGUGCAGAAGCAGAUCAGAGACAACAAAGCAUCUCACUCGGGACUUACACGUAGAUACAGUGUGGGGGCUGUUUCUGACUGGAAAGAAAAACUUGAAAAUUGUCUUAGAGGAAAUGAAGUGCACAAGAGCUUUUCCCUUAGAAGUGCAUCUAGAGUUUCACACCGUCUUGAUUCAAAUGCAGCAUUUCCACAGAGCAAACCAACAGUUGCUAACACAAUGUCCAGCCAAUCACAUGACUCAUCACAGACUCUCUCCAGUGUUAAUGAAGAGUCUAUGUCACUCGCCCAGAGGAAAGGGCCCCUCCCACCUAUUCCCAUUCAUGCCAGAAUAGCCACGUUGAAGUUUAACCCCAAUGCUAGCAUACAAAACUUUGACUCCACUAUUCCCAAACCACCAUGGGUGCCACCCCCUCCAUCUUACCAGGCCCCUGCAGCCCCUCCAAGUUCAACUAUUAAAGAUCCCUACUCUGCUGGAAUGAAGCAAAAUUUUCAUUAUAAUGCUGGCAUCGAGGAUGAAUCUGGCUAUUAUGACUACCUUUAAAACCUCCAUCCUUUUCAUCAGAUGGGACUUUAUGACUGAGCAACAGCAGGAUGUGGUCAUGUUACCCCACACAAACUUCCACAUGGAAUAUGUUUCUUUAUUAACUAUAUCAUAGGAAUUUCUGCAGAACACCUAUAGACUUUUUAAAAGAAUGUUUAAUGAUGUAAUCGAACCUAAUAAAAACAUAACAGUGGCUCAAACGGUUUCUGAAAUUUACCCCCGGUUUCACAGACAAGGCUUAAACCUAGUCCCAGAUUAAAUGUGAGCUGCUUCAACUGAACGAAACUAAUUGAUCUUAAAACAUAUCAGUGCCUUUGUUUUGUCUCAAGAUGCACACCAGUAAUGUUUGUUUUCUAAGGCAUGUUAAUAAAAAUUACUUAAAAGUCCUAAUUGUACUAUGGCCUAAUCCUGGUUUAGUCUAAGCCGUGUCUGUGAAACUGGGCCAAAAUAUCAAACCAAAUAAUGAUAAACCUCUUCUCUGAACUAAUUUCACUUAUACUUAGUUUAGUAUUUUGUUCUUCCGAUGCAUUUUAUUAUGUUGGACAAGCAAGUGUCCAAAUACUUUGUCUUAAUUUUGAACAGUAUAUCUAUUGUUUUAGAAUUUAAUAACUAUAAUAAAUUCAUUUUCGUUAAAUGCUUUGCUUGAAAGUGUACUGUGUUAUGUUGUAAAUGGAUAUUCCUCCCAAAAAUGAUAAUUCUGGCAUCAUAUACAUCGUCAUUUCAAAACUGCAUGUAGAACAUAAAAUACA
ensembl:lncRNA